ACGGGGGGGGCAAGCGUUGUUCGGAAUUACUGGGCGUAAAGGGCUCGUAGGCGGCCAACUAAGUCGGACGUGAAAUCCCUCAGCUUAACUGAGGAACUGCGUCCGAUACUGGAUGGCUUGGAUUCGGGAGAGGGAUGCGGAAUUCCAGGUGUAGCGGUGAAAUGCGUAGAUAUCUGGAGGAACACCGGUGGCGAAGGCGGCAUCCUGGACCGAUAUUGACGCUGAGGAGCGAAAGCUAGGGGAGCAAACGGGAUUAGAUACCCCGGUAGUCCUAGCCCUAAACGAUGAAUGCUUGGUGUGGCGGGUAUCGAUCCCUGCCGUGCCGAAGCUAACGCAUUAAGCAUUCCGCCUGGGGAGUACGGUCGCAAGGCUG
rnacentral:rRNA from 1 species